UGGAUAAUACUUUAUUUAAUUGAUUCAUGAAGGAGAUUACAAUUUAUAUAGGAUUACAAACAAGCAAAUCAACUACCAAACUUCCACCUAAGGAACAUAACUAACUUAUUCUAAAAACUAUUGAAAAGAUGCAAGCUGGAUUCUCACUAAGCGAACUUGGGCUUGCUUAGCGAAAUCUUCAGUCUCACUCGGUCAAAUCGUAAAGCAAUAAAACCUCAAACUCAUAAAUUUGUCUCGUUGAGCGAGCUCAACCUUACAAUAGAAGUGGUCAAACUCCUUACUAUAUCUCACAGUGAUGUAGUCGGAAGCACAUGGGUUUGACAAGCAUCAAACUUAAAAUGAUAAACACAAGUUUGCAAGCAUAAACCUAAUAAAUAAGCUAUGGAAUCCACUAGAUAGAGAAACUUCAAAAUUUUAUUAAUUGUAAGAUAAUGAAACGAAAUUAUCUAAGAGCAUUUAAAUAGAAAACGGUAAACCUAAUCCUAAAUUAUCCAAACUCGAAAUUAAACAAAAACUGCUAAAAAUAGUAAAAGUCAUUUUCAGACCUGAAACGAGCCCAUAUGGCCUAAAAAGCCUAUACCUCAAGACAAAGCGAUGAUUUGUGUUUGUUGGUCCAAUUCCCUAUUUGGAAAGGUAUAAUAAUGAUCAUCCUGACAUCGAACGCCAAACUUGUGCAAAUCCUGCCGAUCCUUUCCCACAAGCAACUUCAACUUCGAUACAUGCAACCAGCCUUCCUACAUCACUAAGCGAGUCUCCUAGUUCGCCGAGCGAUUAUUACAAAACUCAUUGUUUCAAGUUCGCUUCGUGAAAGCUUAUCUCGCUGAGUGGAUGCCUUCUCCAAAAUCUUAAUGCUCUUUUUCAUUCUUUGGUUGACAUCCAUCCUUUUGUUUCUUUUAAGUGCUCCUCUUGAUUUUGCUUGUUUGACAAAGAGAGAGUUAAGCAGUUUGUUAGUGUAUAAACUAACAUUGUGGAUAUGCUUUGUUUAGAACGUGGAAACCAAACUAAUGCUCAACAUUAUGUUGUAAAGGAGAUUUAAUUUGUUGACACAUCUGUUGCAUCCAAUCUACAAAAGAUGGAGAAUGGUAGAGCAAACGAAGCUAAAGCCUAGUAUUCUUACAUACCUUAGAGGCAACAUUUAUCUUAUUUGUUUUUUUCGACCUUACCCCAUUUUUUUACAAAAUUUGUUCUCUAAUAAAUUCCAUCACAUAAUCCUAUGAAUCAUGACGUACCGCCUCUUACAGCCUGCAUUACUUAAGUUGACAAGUUUCCUGACAAAUUAAGCAUGCAUUUUGUAUUACAUUUCAAUCCAAUGAAACUAUGAAAGGGUUUAUCCUGGUACUUUUUUCUUAUCACAAUCUCUUCCUUUCUAUGUCGAGAGAAAGUUUGAGAGGACAUCAUAUUUGAACUAAUGUGUUUAUGAUAUCACCUCACAUAUAUAGAUAUUGACAGAAAAGAAAGGACAUCAAACAUGCAAGGGAUAAUAUUUAAAUAGAAAAUUAACUAUCAAAAGGCUUUCCAAAUUUGAA
rnacentral:lncRNA from 1 species